rnacentral:rRNA from 1 species
ACACAUGCAAGUCGAGGGGCAGCAUGAACUUAGCUUGCUAAGUUUGAUGGCGACCGGCGCAUGGGUGAGUAACACGUAUCCAACCUGCCGAUGACUCGGGGAUAGCCUUUCGAAAGAAAGAUUAAUACCCGAUGGCAUAGUUCUUCCGCAUGGUAGAACUAUUAAAGAAUUUCGGUCAUCGAUGGGGAUGCGUUCCAUUAGGUUGUUGGCGGGGUAACGGCCCACCAAGCCUUCGAUGGAUAGGGGUUCUGAGAGGAAGGUCCCCCACAUUGGAACUGAGACACGGUCCAAACUCCUACGGGAGGCAGCAGUGAGGAAUAUUGGUCAAUGGACGAGAGUCUGAACCAGCCAAGUAGCGUGAAGGAUGACUGCCCUAUGGGUUGUAAACUUCUUUUAUACGGGAAUAAAGUGAGGCACGUGUGCCUUUUUGUAUGUACCGUAUGAAUAAGGAUCGGCUAACUCCGUGCCAGCAGCCGCGGUAAUACGGAGGAUCCGAGCGUUAUCCGGAUUUAUUGGGUUUAAAGGGAGCGUAGGCGGACGCUUAAGUCAGUUGUGAAAGUUUGCGGCUCAACCGUAAAAUUGCAGUUGAUACUGGGUGUCUUGAGUACAGUAGAGGCAGGCGGAAUUCGUGGUGUAGCGGUGAAAUGCUUAGAUAUCACGAAGAACUCCGAUUGCGAAGGCAGCUUGCUGGACUGUAACUGACGCUGAUGCUCGAAAGUGUGGGUAUCAAACAGGAUUAGAUACCCUGGUAGUCCACACAGUAAACGAUGAAUACUCGCUGUUUGCGAUAUACAGUAAGCGGCCAAGCGAAAGCGUU